rnacentral:rRNA from 1 species
GACGAACGCUGGCGGCGUGCUUAACACAUGCAAGUCGAACGGAAAGGCACUGCUUUUGUCGGGUGCCCGAGUGGCGAACGGGAGAGUAACACGUGAGUAACCUGCCCUUGACUUUGGGAUAAAUUCAGGAAAAUGGGGCUAAUACCGGAUAGGAGCUCCUGAUGCAUGGCGGGGGGUGGAAAGAUUCGGCGGUUGGGGAAGGACUCGCGGCUUAGCAGCGUGUUGGUGGGGUAGUGGCGUACCAAGGCUUUGACGGGUAGCCGGCCUGAGAGGGUGACCGGACCCAUUGUGACUUAGCUCCCGCCCAGACGCCUACGGGAGGCAGCAGUCGCGAAUAUUGCACAAUGCGCUGACGCCUGAUGCAUCAACGCCGCGUGCGCGAUGACGGACUUCGGGUUGUAAACCGCUUUGCCCUGUAACGAAGCGUGAGUGACGGUAAUGUGCAAAGAAGCACCAGCUUACUACGUG